GCAGUCUGUUGAAGGAAUGAAAGUCGUGUGUCAUGAGCUGACACAAGCCACUAAUGAUCCAGAAGGCAGUGCAAUGGAUGAACUUAUUAAAGAUGCAGACAGACUUGUUUCAUGCCUUGCAAACAAGGUUGCCAAGACCUUUGAUUUCAGCUUGACAGGAGCAUCAUCUAGAUCUUGUAAAUAUGUUCUCAACACCCUCAUGCAGACAUUUCAAAACAAGAGAUUGGCUUAUGCUAUCAAGGAAAGCACUCUUGAUAGUCUAAUUACUGAGCUCCUUCUAUGGCUGUUGGAUGAGAGAGUUCCACAUCUGUGUGGAUGCCAGU